AAUGUGAGGACUGCGAAUGCAGGUUACUGUGAUAUAGUAAACUUUGGGUUUAGAAACCUCCACAUUA
rnacentral:tRNA from 1 species